rnacentral:rRNA from 1 species
CAGCAGCCACGGUAAUACGUAGGGUGCGAGCGUUAAUCGGAAUUACUGGGCGUAAAGGGCGCGUAGGCGGCCGAUUAAGUCGGGGGUGAAAGCCUGUGGCUCAACCACAGAAUUGCCUUCGAUACUGGUUGGCUUGAGACCGGAAGAGGACAGCGGAACUGCGAGUGUAGAGGUGAAAUUCGUAGAUAUUCGCAAGAACACCAGUGGCGAAGGCGGCUGUCUGGUCCGGUUCUGACGCUGAGGCGCGAAAGCGUGGGGAGCAAACAGGAUUAGAUACCCGUGUAGUCCCUGUCUCUUAUAC